CAGAUUAAAAUUAAACAAUAUUAUAAUAAUAACAAAGAAAAAUCAAAUGAUUCUUUCCCUAAUGGCAGGAAAAGCAUGGUAAAAUUAAAAACAAAUCUAUUCAUCAUAAAAAAUCAAUAAACUAGGAAUAAAAAGAACUUUUAUGAUUUGAUAAGGGGUAUCUUUUUUAAAAAAUAUAGCAAACACGCCAGACUUUUCAUCAUGCCAAGGGAAGGCUGAUAUUAAAUACUUCCCUAACCGUGAAUGCUGACAAAGAUUCCUGCUACUGGCAUGCCAUGUCAUAUACCUGUAAGAUCUGGGUCACAGCCUCUGAUUAUACCAGGGAAGGGAUACUUCCCCUCAAAAUUUAUGCUAGGUUGUCAAAAUUGGGCUUACACCAAAACUAUGCCACAUUAUGCUGCUCUUGUAUCCCACCUGAUCACAACAGUGAGUAGCUUCAGCUUCUGUACUUAAUGCAGUUUAAAAACUAUAAAGCCCAAGGUUGUAAGCCCUAUCUCAUAGUAUGAAAAUGUCAUUAGACUUCUAUACACUGACAUAGAAAGAAUGGGCAAUGUGGGGACAAGUGCAUCUGGUAUUACUCCAGGCUUUAUAAGUUUUCCUCCAAUGAAUAUUACUCUAGUAGGCUUUGUAUGAAUUCUACUUGGCCAUUUGCGCUUAAUUACAUAAAAACUGUCACAGAAAACUGGACAUCAGGUCAGGUUUCUACUGCAGUUUUCUGGAAGUAAAGCAAAGGACCAGAGGUGAAAGACUCAUUUUGGCAUUUUGGCAGCAUGCCCAGUCAUCAGGAUGGCUAAUCACUAACUGCAACUGGGAAAUAGCCCUAAAGUCCCAAUGAAUAAAAUAUCUGGAAAAUAAGACUGGCCAGGUUGGAACUCCUUGGUUGUUAUUAAUGGCCUUGGUGAGAAUCUCCUAGGAAGAGGCAAACUCCACUGAAGGGAAGGUUAAGUAAUCCCUGAUGAAAUUAUAUAGACACACACAGAGAAGUAAUGAUGCAAAACAAGAGCUGGAAAAUACUCUUACAGAAAAGUAAGGGAGGAAGAUUUUCUCUAGCAUACAUCUACACUAACAUAAAGAAAGCUAUUAUAAUAAGGUGGAGUGUUGCUGGCACAUAAACAGAAAUAAAAAGCAGUGGUGAAUAUGAGUCCAGAAAUAGACCAAUCCACAUAAAGACACCUGAUUUAUAACAAAGCUAAUAUUGCACAGUAGUGGGUAUAGACACAUAUUUCAACUAAUGGUGCUGAGAUUAUUGGGUUUUCAUAUGGAGAAGAAAGAAAUUAAAUUGCUACCUUAUACUAUAUCCAAAAAAGAAAAAAAAAAUGAAACAAUUCCAGGUAGAUUACAAACCUAAAAUAUGAAAGUUGAAGCUAUAAUGCUUAUGGAAAAUAGUACAGAGGAUAUAUUUGUGAAUUUGGGGUAAGAAAAUGUUUCUUAUGCAAGACACCAAACACAUUAUUUCUAAAGUAAAAGACUGAUAAAUGUGACUACCUUACACUUACGGAGCUCUGUUCAUCAAAAGACACCAAGAAAGGGAAGAGACAAGCUAGAGUAUGGGAAAAGCUACUUGCAACACAUACAAUCAACAUCGGACUCACAUUUAGAAGACAUAAAGAACUCCUAGAAAAUCAAUGGGAACAAAGCAGAAAACCAAGUUAAAAACUGGGUAAAACUCAAACAAAUAUUUCAAUAGAAAGGAUAUCCAAAUGGAUAGUAAACACAGAAAAAAGUUGUCAAACUCAUUAGUAAUUAGGAAAUUAGAAAUUAAAAUCACAAUUCUUUGACAAGCACACCAAGACAAUUCAAUGGAGAACAAAUCGUUUUUCAUGAAACGGUGCUGAGACAACUGGAUAGCCACAUGCAAAGAAUUAAGUUGAAUCUCUAUCCCACAGCAUACACAAAAAUGAUCUCAAAAUGGAUCAAAGACCCAAAUGUAAAAUGUAAAACUAUAAUAAACUCUUUGAAGAAAACAGGUGUAAAUCUUUGUGACCUUGAAUUAGGCAAUGGUUUCUUAGGGGUAAUACCAAAAGCACAAGCAAACAAAACACAGAAAAAUUAGACUUUAUCAAAAUGUAAAACUUCUGUGUUUGAAAGAACACUAUAUCAAGAAAGUGAAGAGAUGACCCAAAGAAUUGGAGGAAACAUUUAUAAAUUAUGUAUCUGAUAAGGGUUUAGUAUCCAACAUAUACAAAGAACUAAUACAAUUCAACAAUAAAAGACAACCUAAUUUUUUAAAUGGGCAAAGAUUUUAAAUAGGCAUCUCUCCAAAGAAGAUAUGGAGAUUGGCAAUAAACACAUGAAAAGAUGUUCAACAUCACUGAUCACUAGGGUAAUGCAAAUCAAAACCACAACUAGAUUCACACAACCUCUUUACACCUACUGGGGUGGGUAUAAUAAAAAAGACAGACAAUGACAAGUGUUGGUGAGGAUGUGGAGAAAUUGGGCUCUCAAACACUACUGAUAAAAUGGAAAAUGGUGCAGCCCCCUUGGAAAACAGUUUGGCAGUUCCUCAAAAAGCUAGACACAGAGUUAUAUUAUGACCUAGCAGUUCUGAUCCUAGGUAUGUACCCCAAAGAACUGAAAUGUAUUGUCACAUAAAAAAUUACACAUGACCAUUUAUAGCAGCAUUAUUCAUUAAUAGCCAAAAAAUGAAUACGAGCCAAAUGUCCAUCAACAGAUGAAUGGAUAAAUAAAAUACGGUAUAUUUAUACAAUGUAAUAUUAUUCAGCCAUAAAGAGAAGUACUGAUAACUUCUACAAUAUAAACGAAUCUUGAAAACAUUAUACUAAAUGAAAGAAGCCAGAAACAAAAGGCCACAUAUUGUGUGAUUCCAUUUAUAUGAGAUGUCCAGAACAGGCAAAUCCAGAGACAAAAAAAUGGAUUUGUAUUUUCCAGGGCGAGAGGGAAAAGGAGAAUGCAGAGUGACUGUUAAUGGGUUGGGUGCUUUCUUUGUGAGGUGAUGCAAAUGGUCUGGAAUUAGUGGUGGUGGUUACAUAGUUUUGUGAAUAUACUAAAAAUUAACUAUAUACUUUUAAAAGGUGAGUUUUAUGGUUUAUGAGUUACAUCUCAAAAGUUAUAAGCUGGGAAAUUAUCAAGGAAAUAUAAAAUAGAAUUUAAGUGAACAAAAGCUAUAAGCAAAAACAAGGGUGAAAUCUUAGAAGAAAAUACUAAAUGAACAAAACAAGAUGCAACUCUCUUGAGUACCCCCACACUCCCUUGAGUGUGCACUUUUUGCUUUGAAAUAAAAUCUCUGUACUUUCACUAUUUUCUGACUCAUCCUUGAAUUCCUUCUCAUGAUGGUGUCAAGAGUCUGGACACCGGCUGGCGCUGAGGUCCCAUCGGCAUUUGGGGACCCCCCCCCUCCAGCCUACCAGUAUCAUCUUUAUGGCCAUCCAGCCCAGAGCAUCAUCAGCCACAUCAGAACCACCAGCAGUUGGUAAGUCCCAUUGGGGCCUUAAUUGGAGUCUUCUCGUUCUCUGGAGUUACUGCUACUUUCUUCCUUGUUCCUACAGCCUGACUCCCCUCAGCCGUAGUGCCUCUGCUUCCUCCAGCUGGAAAACGCAGUUCGCCCUGACAGUGACAAAUGGAGGUGGGAAGGCUUUGACCUACACCUGAGCUCUGAGGUGCCAUGGGCCUCCUGGGCAAGAGGCUAAUGAGGGUCGUGCCGAGGACAAGUCAAGGCUAUGGGUAACUCUCUUUUAGAAAAUGGGGUGCAAUGGCCAGAGUCUAGGACCGUAAAAUGCAAUACCAUCUUGGAAUUAAAUCUUUUUUGUAAACAUCA